ACGCACGCUGGCGGCGCGCCUAACACAUGCCAGUCGAACGGAGUCAAGAGGAGCUUGCUUUUCUUGACUUAGUGGCGAACGGGUGAGUAACGCGUGAGUAACCUGCCCUGGAGUGGGGGACAACAGUUGGAAACGACUGCUAAUACCGCAUAAGCCCACGGAUCCGCAUGGAUCUGCGGGAAAAGGAUUUAUUCGCUUCAGGAUGGACUCGCGUCCAAUUAGCUAGUUGGUGAGGUAACGGCCCACCAAGGCGACGAUUGGUAGCCGGACUGAGAGGUUGAACGGCCACAUUGGGACUGAGACACGGCCCAGACUCCUACGGGAGGCAGCAGUGGGGGAUAUUGCACAAUGGGGGAAACCCUGAUGCAGCGACGCCGCGUGGAGGAAGAAGGUUUUCGGAUUGUAAACUCCUGUCGUUAGGGACGAUAAUGACGGUACCUAACAAGAAAGCACCGGCUAACUACGUG
rnacentral:rRNA from 1 species